AGUUGUCUUCAAUCUAGUUGUGGAGGGCACAGCUCCUUGGCCCAUGUGGGGAUCGAACCAGCAACGUUGGUGCCAAGAGCCCGCGCUCCAACCACCUUGAGCCAACCGGCCACCCCUUUAUGGAACUCUUGUCAGUGCAUAUGUAAUGAAUUUGAUUAUUUUUUUCCAUUGAUGUCUCUGGUGUCAGUUUGAUGAUUAGUCCAGCCAGAAUAACUUAGAAGAGUAGAAGAAAAAUUACUUUUCCUCCCCUGCGUCUGGCUGGGGAUACUUGCCAGUACCUAGAGCUGUAAAAUGCUAGGCAUGUAAAUUGGCCCUCGAGUACUGUUAGCUGGACACACUGACCGGGAACCGGGAAGAGCGCCUGCACCACAGAUCGUGGGGUGGAAGCUCAGUGCCUGUGUGAGAUGACGCUGUGUGGAGUGUGCGCUGGGGCUCAUGGCCCAAACCUGUGAGCGUCUCCCAGCGACGACCUCGGGGACUUUGGAAUAGAGAAUUCCCAUCGGGGGCACUUGUGAGCUUGCUAGCAGACAUUACUUGAAACUACCCCUAUGAUGGAAAGGCAGAAAAUAAUCUUGAAACCUGAAAUGCCCAGUGUCUUGGGCGGUAUCAGAGAAACACUCAGUGGGGAAGGCAGUGCCCAGAAAGGUUCCAUAACGAAAUAGAAGUGGUUUAUACAGGCUCGUGCUGCCUGGGGGGGGCCAUGGGAGAGACCCUCACAAGCAGCGAGCCUCCUUUCCCCUAGGACCUGGCUUCGGAGCUGUGUGAAGAGUUGUCUGGCUGUACUGUCAUUAGGACGGUGACCUGUGACAGCUCUCAACUGAGCGACAGAGAGCUGCUUGGUUUGUGGACGGCAGCUCCACAGUGAACGGACCACAUCCUGGUCGGAAGGCCACUAUUCUGAUGGAAGGAGGGGUCACAAGACAAGGGCUGUGACUCCCAGGGCCAGAAGGAAGGCUGAUUCCCAAGGAAGAACUGUAACUAUGCUUUCAAAUGUGACGUCACCCCCAAGGGUGGAAGUGUUUGGGCACAAACGGAGAAGGAGGAAUAGCAGCUGAGGGGAAAGGAACAAAUAAACAGGCUGUGUAAUGAGGGAACCCGAGACAGCAGUCACACCUCCAGCAAGGCUCAGGGCCAGAGGCUGCCUCUUGUGCAUGGCUCCAUGAUACAGACCGAUGCCUGACGGGGACGAGAUGGGCUGGAGGUGCCAGGAUGGUGAGGGUCGAUUUUUGGGCGCUUGAGUCUACGCAUUCGAUCUCCACAUGGUCCUGACCACUGUAGCUUUGCAGGAAGCUCAAACCAGGAAGUGUGAGCCCGACAACUUUGUCCGUCUUUUUCAAGGCUUGUUUUGGCUGUCCCGGGACCCUUGUAAUCAUAGGGUACUUAGGAAGUGCCUGGUAAAGCCAGUGGGGAUUUUCACAGGUAUUGUGUGGAGCUGUAGGUCAAUUUGGGGAGCACUGGUAUCGUGACAAGACUGAGUCUUCCAAUCUGUGAACCCCGGGAACCUUUCCAUGUCCUGAGACCUUCCCUCAUGCCUUUGACAAUGUCUUGUAGCUUCCAGUCAGUGUCCAUGUCUUACAAUAAAUUGGCUACAUUUAUUCCCAGGUACUUCAUUCUGUUUGCUGCUAUUAGAAAUGGCAUUGUCUUCUUCAUUCCAUGUUAGGAUUGUUCAUUGCUAGUGUAUAGAAAUAAAAUUGAUUUUCUUACAUUGA